UCAUCUCUUCCUAGUACUUUGGGAGCAGAAAACCUCUGUAGUGACAGGAAUUGGUUAAUUCUUCCAGGCUCUUCAUCGCACAGCCUCAGCACUUCACGGAUUCUUCUUGCUGCCAAGCUGACCAGCACUUAAACUGAUACUUUUCCUGCUUAAGAAAAAACACAGCAGAUUUUUUUUCCAAAAUACAACCACGAGUAAGUUGACUCUUCCCCUAAAGUAAAUGUGGACUGAAAGUGAACUUGGGAAGAUCAAGGGAACUGCACAAUCCUUUCAAAUGCUCUGCAAGGGACAAUGGAAGGUCAGAGUGCAGAAAGCAGAGAUUCUUAUACCUUCCUGCAAGCAGAUCUUUCUCAGUUGUCCCAGCCCUAAGGUAUCAUGGAAGGUAUCACCCUCUUGCCCUCCCUUUCAGGGACAACCGAACCUUGGUUCAUAGAGAAGCACCUAACACACCUCCAGGGAAUAGCGGCUGAGGACUGAGGAGUUCUGGAUCCUUAUUUGCACACAGCGAUGAUGUGGAAAAAGGAAAAGUGACAGAUGUUUUCAUCCUGGACUGGCUGGAAGGGCAGGGCAGGGACGCCUUCUCCUUGCCGAGCUUUCACUUACACUCCGCUGCUCCGUCCCACGUCACUCACAGCAGCCUUAGGACCAAAUUAAAGCUCCCGCGGUGUCAGUUUUUAGAGGAGUCUCCCCUCAUGCCGCUGGAUGCAGCAGAUGGAGCGGCGCGCUCCGCUCCCGGCUCCCAGCCCGCUGUCCCUGGUGCUGGAGCCGCUCCCUUCGCCGCCGCUCCCGCUCCCAGCGGGGACCCGCUGGAUCCCGGCGCUCCAAGCCCUCCCCUGGCAUGAAGGGCCCUUCCAACCAACCUCCCGCAGCGGCUGUGGCAGAGGACGAGGAGCCCUCCCGUUCCCACAGCUCGGCAUUUCCCAGGGAGCGCCAGCUGGCCGUGCUGUCAGCCCCGGGCACAGGGACCAGCCUCAGGGCUGGCCGGGACCUCGGGACCUGUGCAGAGACCACGUUGUGAUCUGGAAAUAAAGCCAGCACUACCAAAAACAAUUGGAAAAACUGGAAUUUUGAAGUGCUGAGACGGAUAAUUUGAAGUCAUGCUGGACCUAUCCAGGUUCAUCCCAUUUUUCCUUAUGGGAAUGCAAGAGCAUGCAGUUGAGCUGUGGCCAAACCUCCCCAGCUCAGCUACUGAGACCCACAAGUACAGAAACAGUCAGUCAUGGCAGAGUGCUCAGUACCCAAGAAACACUGCUGAACAUUUCCUACUAUUGUACUGUUCAUAUCAACUACAUAUUUCUAUUUAAAAUGUGGACAUCCUAUGUGUUCAUCUGUGAAAUGAUUUGGAUUAUUUUUAUCUAGAUAAAUUCAGUAUUGUGCAUGUGUAUAAUCAAAAUAAAUAACAUAUAUGACA